CAAUCUGUAGAGAGAAACAUCAAAAAUGAAAUUACGAUCACUUCAGCUUGUGCUCAUCUGAAAUCUUUAAUGAGUGGGCCCAGAGUCUGUUUGUAUUUGUGACUUCCAGUAAUAUCCUGCUCUGAGUCUCUUCUGUAAAUGGCUAGGAAAGAACCUUUUCUUGACUUCCUGCGCCGGAAAUACAAGAUAAAGAAAAAAUUAAUGAAGUACAGGGGGAAAACGGCUCAAUUUAGGAGGAGGUUCACAAACACUGUGAAGACCUUGGAUGAGCUCUUUUAUGUUCUGACAUCAGUUAUCUGAAAGAGUUCAUGAGAAGCUUGUUUGCUUGGUCUUAGAAAAGCUCAUUUUUGUUGUUAACUUUUUUAUUAUGGAGAAUUUUAAACACAUAUAGAAAGAUAAUAGUAUAAUAACCCCCAUAUAUCCAAGAUCAAGCCCCCAAAUCAUCAACCCAUUGCUGAUUCAGGAGGGUUCCUUUUCGGAAUGGAAAGGUGAUUCUUUAAAACUUCCAUCAGAAGAGUCCUGAACCCUAACAUUCAUAAUCCAGCACUCCAAGGCUUGGGCUAAAUGGCCAUUUGCCUGAGACACUAAAAUGUUGAAAGGAUAGACAACGUGCCCCAAAUCAUCCAGCUGGCUGCCUGGCAACCAGUCAUACUUGGAGCCCCAAAGCUGUUGGUCUUUGCUGACAAAACCUACACUUAGAGUUGGCUCUACCCACCUGGCUACUGUCCGCUUCCAGAGCUCUACUCUCCCCAGAUCCAAAUGGCGGUGCUUAAAUCAGGGCAGGAAAAAGUAAAUUAAUCUGAUGGACCUAAUGGAGCAGGAACAUGAACCAAGUGGCAGGGUGACUUCAGAACUUCCCAAAGGAAAGGGAACCCAAAAUACCUGAGAGGCAAUUGUGGUAGACAGAAUAUGUCUAUCCCAAAUGUCCACACCCUAACCUCCAGAAAUGGUGAAUAUGUUAGAUUACAUGGCAAAGGAGAAAGAGGGUUGUAAAUGGAAUUGAGAUUGCUAAUUGCCUGACCUUUAAAAUAGGGAGAUUAGCCUGGAUUAUCCAAUCCAGGUGGGCCCAGUGUAAUCACAAGGGUCCUUAAACCUGGAAGAGGGAGGCGGAAGAGAAGGUCAAGGAAGAGAUGGACAGAAUGCAAGUAGAGUCAUCGAGAUGUUACCUCGCUGGCUCUGAAGAUGGAGCAUUGGGGCCGCUAGCCAAGGGCGGCCUCUAGAAGCUGGGCAGACAAAGAAACAAAUUCUUCUCCAGAACCUCCAGGAAGGAAUGCAGCCCUGCCAACCCCUGACUCUAGCCCAGGGAGCCUGCAUUUGGACUUCUAACUCACAGAACUGAAAGAAAAUCCAUCUGUGUUGUAAGGCACGAAGCCGGUGGUGAUUUGUUACAGCAGCAACAGGAGGCUAAUACUGUGGCAUGACACAGAGGACCUGCCAAGUCCUCACACUGCUCUGAUCACUGAGGUCCAAAGAUACCAAGAAGAAAACGGCUGCUCCAGAGAUUACCCCAACAGCCAACUUACAACAAAGCUGGAAGACUCUGGUAAAUCACGUAGCUCGCCGCUUCAUCCCGACACUGUCUGGCCAGAGCGCAACUCUGCGGCCAUCGGCGCGUCUGCAGUGUCCCCAGGCCCAGCUGGAGAGGAGGCCUUACCUGGCUAGCCCGGAGGCUCUGGAUAGCAGCGCACACAGCAGCAGCACCAACACCCAGAGCAGGGCUAAGAUGAACACGCCGGCCCCCACCCCGAGCACGGUGCCAGCCAUCUGCAGGGAGACAAAGCGUGAGGACAGAGAGGUUGCUUUCUGCUCUGUGUGGAUCACUUCAAAUCUGCUGAGUUCUAGUUUGGCUUUCCCGACCUGCAGCAGCAAGCUGAACUCUCUCCUGACAGAAAUGCUAAUGGAGGGCUGUGAAGGCACGAGGAGCCAAGCGCUAUGGAGCCCAUGGGGACACUGAGGCUCUC